UUCCCGGGAGAGGCAGCGUGGAGCCUGAGUGAGUCCCUACUCAGUAGAGAGCAUCCUCCCUGGCCAGCCUUGCUCGACACAGCUUUCUGCUGCCACUGGCUUCUGGAUUCCACCAGCUGGUUUUGGUUUCUUGCUUCCCCUGCAUUCCUAACUCUACACCCUCAGCUCAUGGCCUCCGGAGGCAGCCGACUCAAGCCCCAGAGGAUUCCACUCAACUUGGAGGGAAUCCAACAGAACCAGCGGAUGUGGCUGGUGAAGGUACCGAAGUACCUAUCGCAGCAGUGGUCGGAAGCUUCUGGAAGCGGUGAAGUAGGGAAGCUGAAGAUUGCCACAAAUCAAGGGAAAUCGGAAAUCUCCUUUACUCUGAAUAAGGAACUUACAGACAUUCGGGGUACAGAUGGACAACCGGCCCCGGUCCACGCUCCCACGGAGCAUCAGUUUCUCUUGCAAACAGACAGAGGGCAGGUCCUCACGGUGCUGACUGAGCAUGCGCCGGAUCAAUUUUCCCUGCAAGGAACCGUGGUCCAUCGCGGCGAAUGCAGACCCGCUCCCAGUGAAAAUUACAUGAGGCUGAAGAGGAUGCAAAUAGAGGGGGCUUCCAAACCUGCCAGGACUGUACAGAAACUGGAGAAGGUGGUCACGACCAAUUAUAAACCUGUUGCCAAUCAUCAGUACAAUAUUGAAUAUGAGAAGAGAAAGAAAGAAACCGGAAAGAGAGUGAAGGCGGAUAAAGACCAAGUGUUAACCUUGCUAUUUGCUGCCUUUGAGAAACACCAGUAUUAUAACAUAAAGGACUUGGUUGACAUCACUAUGCAACCUGUGGUGUACCUGAAGGAAAUCCUGAAUGAAAUCGGUGUUCGAAAUGUAAAAGGACCCCACAAAAACACUUGGGAGCUGAAGGAAGAGUAUCGGUGCUACCAGAGAGCAGCCAAGAGAGAGUGAGACAGCCCUUUGUCAGGAGGGUGCCAAGAUGAGCUUGAAGAUCUUCCAACACAAAAACUGAUGUGAGGCUGUGCUAUUAGGGGGUAGGGAGGUUUAAUAUCUUUCUAAGUAUUCACAUUUAGAUUGUAAAACGAGGAAAUAAAAUAGGCUGUAAAUUGAGAAAA